UAAACGACUCUCGGCAACGGAUAUCUCGGSUCUCG
rnacentral:rRNA from 1 species